AUGCAGCACGCGCGUCACGGCGCCGGUGAUGAUAUGCAACACUUGUCGAAGCUUGACGGCGUUGCUAUGCACCACUCGCCGGUGCUAUCAGUGCUGCUAUGCAGCAGCAUGCCCACCGUUGCAGAGGCUGCCGGUGCUGCGGUGGAGGCACUAGUGUCGCCGGAGCAGCGGUGCUGCUGCACUGCAUCAACGGUGGGGCGGCGCUGCAAAGUCUCAUGGUGUCUCCGACGAUGCAGGCCGAUGGCCGGCGUCGCUGCUGCAGAGAGUUGGCGCAGUGUUUCAUCGCUGGGCUUUUUCCUUGGCGUAGAUGCGAGAAAGGGGGAAGAGAGAAGCGUCCCACAUCGUUUGGAUCGAACGACUACGCGAGCUUGA
rnacentral:rRNA from 1 species